GACGAACGCUGGCGGCGUGCUUAACACAUGCAAGUCGAACGGAAAGGCCUGCUUUCCCUUGUGGAUUGCGGGUACUCGAGUGGCGAACGGGUGAGUAACACGUGAGUGAUCUGCCCCCAACUUGGGUAUAAGCCUGGGAAACUGGGUCUAAUUCCCGAUAGGACUGCAGGGUGGUGCCUGUGGUGGAAAACGAUUUUCUAGUGGUUGGGGAUGAGCUCGCGGCCUAUCAGCUUGUUGGUGGGGUAAUGGCCUACCAAGGCGGCGACGGGUAGCCGGCCUGAGAGGGUGGACGGCCACAUUGGGACUGAGAUACGGCCCAGAAUCCUACGGGAGGCAGCAGUGGGGAAUAUUGCACAAUGGGCGGAAGCCUGAUGCAGCGAAGCCGCGUGGGGGAUGACGGCCUUCGGGUUGUAAACUCCUUUCGACCGCGAGGAAGCCACCUGGUUGGAAGGGUGGUGACGGUAGUGGUAGAAGAAGCACCGGCUAACUACGUG
rnacentral:rRNA from 1 species